GACGAACGCUGGCGGCGUGCUUAACACAUGCAAGUCGAACGGAAAGGCCUUUUUCGGGUGGUAUUCGAGUGGCGCACGGGCGUGUAACACAUGAGUAACCCGCCCUCUACUUUGUGAUAACUUCUGGAAACUGGGGCUAAUACCGGAUAUGGGCUCCUGCGGCCUGGUGGGGGUUGGAGAGUUUCGGCGGUUGGGGGUGUACUCGCGGCUUAUCCGCUUGUUGGUGGGGGAGUGGGUUACCCAAGCGUUGGCGGGUAUCCGGCCUGUGGGGGUGACCGGCCACACUGGGACUGAGGUAAGGCCCAAGCUCCUAAGGGAGGCAACAGGGGGGAAUAUUGCACCAUGGGUGGAAGGCUGGUGCAGCAACCCCGUGGGCGGGAAGACCGCCUUCGGGUUGUAAACCGGUUUCGCGCUUGACGAAGCUUUGUGUGACGGUAGUGGGUAAAGAAGCACCGGCUAACUACGUG
rnacentral:rRNA from 1 species